GGGGUUGUAGCUCAGUGGUAGAGCGCUUGCCUCGCAUGCAUGAGGCCUUGGGUUUGAUCCUCAGCACCACA
rnacentral:tRNA from 1 species